rnacentral:rRNA from 1 species
UACGAAGGGGGCUAGCGUUGCUCGGAAUCACUGGGCGUAAAGCGCGCGCAGGCGGUCUUCCAAGUCAGUGGUGAAAGCCUGGAGCUCAACUCCAGAACUGCCAUUGAAACUGUUAGACUUGAGUACGAGAGAGGUGAGUGGAAUUCCCAGUGUAGAGGUGAAAUUCGUAGAUAUUGGGAAGAACACCGGUGGCGAAGGCGGCUCACUGGCUCGUAACUGACGCUCAGGCGCGACAGCGUGGGGAUCAAACAGG